rnacentral:rRNA from 1 species
GAUGAACGCUAGCUACAGGCUUAACACAUGCAAGUCGAGGGGCAUCAGGAAGAAAGCUUGCUUUCUUUGCUGGCGACCGGCGCACGGGUGAGUAACACGUAUCCAACCUGCCCUUUACUCGGGGAUAGCCUUUCGAAAGAAAGAUUAAUACCCGAUGGCAUAAUGAUUCCGCAUGGUUUCAUUAUUAAAGGAUUCCGGUAAAGGAUGGGGAUGCGUUCCAUUAGGUUGUUGGUGAGGUAACGGCUCACCAAGCCUUCGAUGGAUAGGGGUUCUGAGAGGAAGGUCCCCCACAUUGGAACUGAGACACGGUCCAAACUCCUACGGGAGGCAGCAGUGAGGAAUAUUGGUCAAUGGGCGCUAGCCUGAACCAGCCAAGUAGCGUGAAGGAUGAAGGCUCUAUGGGUCGUAAACUUCUUUUAUAUAAGAAUAAAGUGCAGUAUGUAUACUGUUUUGUAUGUAUUAUAUGAAUAAGGAUCGGCUAACUCCGUGCCAGCAGCCGCGGUAAUACGGAGGAUCCGAGCGUUAUCCGGAUUUAUUGGGUUUAAAGGGAGCGUAGGUGGACUGGUAAGUCAGUUGUGAAAGUUUGCGGCUCAACCGUAAAAUUGCAGUUGAUACUGUCAGUCUUGAGUACAGUAGAGGUGGGCGGAAUUCGUGGUGUAGCGGUGAAAUGCUUAGAUAUCACGAAGAACUCCGAUUGCGAAGGCAGCUCACUGGACUGCAACUGACACUGAUGCUCGAAAGUGUGGGUAUCAAACAGGAUUAGAUACCCUGGUAGUCCACACAGUAAACGAUGAAUACUCGCUGUUUGCGAUAUACAGUAAGCGGCCAAGCGAAAGCAUUAAGUAUUCCACCUGGGGAGUACGCCGGCAACGGUGAAACUCAAAGGAAUUGACGGGGGCCCGCACAAGCGGAGGAACAUGUGGUUUAAUUCGAUGAUACGCGAGGAACCUUACCCGGGCUUAAAUUGCAGUGGACUGAUGUGGAAACAUGUCAGUGAGCAAUCACCGCUGUGAAGGUGCUGCAUGGUUGUCGUCAGCUCGUGCCGUGAGGUGUCGGCUUAAGUGCCAUAACGAGCGCAACCCUUAUCUUUAGUUACUAACAGGUUAUGCUGAGGACUCCAGAGAGACUGCCGUCGUAAGAUGUGAGGAAGGUGGGGAUGACGUCAAAUCAGCACGGCCCUUACGUCCGGGGCUACACACGUGUUACAAUGGGGGGUACAGAAGGCAGCUAGCGGGUGACCGUAUGCUAAUCCCAAAAGCCUCUCUCAGUUCGGAUCAAAGUCUGCAACCCGACUUCGUGAAGCUGGAUUCGCUAGUAAUCGCGCAUCAGCCACGGCGCGGUGAAUACGUUCCCGGGCCUUGUACACACCGCCCGUCAAGCCAUGGGAGCCGGGGGUACCUGAAGUGCGUAACCGCGAGGAUCGCCCUAGGGUA